GCACUAAAAGGAGGGUAAUUCAUUCUUUAUUUAUUUAUUUAUGACUGUACUUUUAAGUCCACCUUUUAACAGAUUUUAAAUCUAAUAGCCGGAAUUAAUUAUUAAUGUAACUCACCUUAUUUUCUCACUUAUUGGCUGCACUUUGAUUUGUAAUAUCCCCUUAAAGAUAAAAGAAUUUACCUUUAGGUAAAUCCUAGACAACGGUAUACAAGCUAUAGUAAGUAAGUAGUGAUUACUUGGUGGCUAUCAAUUACAUGGUAAGUUCCCCUAAAAUACUUCUUUCAGCCGCCAUAAUUUUUAAGUUUGGACCAUAUUAAUAGUAGUAAUCCUUGUCUUAGUAAAUUUAAUUUCUAUAUAACUGGGUAUCUAAUCCAGGUUUAGCAUUAGAAUUUGGAAUCAGUUAUAAUACAAGAUAGGUUUAGUAGCUAGUAGUAUUUCACUACAUAGUAACUUUUUAAGUAUAGUAUAAACAAGACAAUAAUUGUAAACUUAUCUAUUAAGUAUGACCGCGGUUGCUGGCACCUAAUACACCUAGAUUAAACAAAUAGCUAAAUUUAAAUUUCUUUAAUUUCUUAAUAUUUUUAACUGAGAAGCUGGUUACAUCUCAUAUUAGAUUAGUUUGUACGUUUAUAAUACCAUCACAUUAAAGUGGUUUAUUCUAAGGGGGAGUGUAUACCAUUUUAGA
rnacentral:rRNA from 1 species